rnacentral:rRNA from 1 species
UACGAAGGGUGCAAGCGUUAUUCGGAAUCAUUGGGCGUAAAGCGUGCGCAGGCGGUGAUGUAAGACAGUUGUGAAAUCCCCGGGCUCAACCUGGGAACUGCAUCUGUGACUGCAUCGCUGGAGUACGGUAGAGGGGAUGGAAUUCCGCGUGUAGCAGUGAAAUGCGUAGAUAUGCGGAGGAACACCGAUGGCGAAGGCAGCCCCCUGGGCUGACACUGACGCCUCAGGCACGAAAGCGUGGGGAGCAAACAGG